rnacentral:misc_RNA from 1 species
GAAAAAGAAAAAGAAAAAGAAAAUAAAUAUGAUUGGCUGAGAACCAAUCAGUAAAUGACAUGUAAAGGCUCCCUAUCCACUUAUCUCUCAAAAUUAAAACCCAUAUUUGGAAGUUGGUCUUGGAGCUAGUACACCCUCGAGCUUCCCAGUAUUAAUAACCUUGAAUCUAAUUUUUGUUAGAGCAUCAUAAACAUUUGACAACCCAAAUCCCAAAACUACUUUUGCCUUUUAGCAAUUUUUCCUGAAUGACUCUUAGUUUCAUGGAAUUUAUUAUACUUGGUUAAAUUCUAUAGAAAUUAGUAAAAUUUGUAAAUAAGUUCUAAACUAUGUAUACAUGCUACAUAUUUUAAAAUGAAUACUUGUGUUGAUAUAUACAAAUCCUAACAUGAUAAUACAAUGUAUAAAUGAGUUCCAUAGUGAAAUUCAUUUGCAAAUUUUUCACUUUUAAUGUCCGUUUGUAAUGUUUAGUCAUAAAAAUUUCAUAACAUAACAGCAGUUUCUAGCUGCUUUCUGCAGAAC